rnacentral:rRNA from 1 species
AGAACUUAGCAGAGAUGCUUUGGUGCCUUCGGGAACUCUGAGACAGGUGCUGCAUGGCUGUCGUCAGCUCGUGUUGUGAAAUGUUGGGUUAAGUCCCGCAACGAGCGCAACCCUUAUCCUUUGUUGCCAGCGGUCCGGCCGGGAACUCAAAGGAGACUGCCAGUGAUAAACUGGAGGAAGGUGGGGAUGACGUCAAGUCAUCAUGGCCCUUACGAGUAGGGCUACACACGUGCUACAAUGGCGCAUACAAAGAGAAGCGACCUCGCGAGAGCAAGCGGACCUCAUAAAGUGCGUCGUAGUCCGGAUUGGAGUCUGCAACUCGACUCCAUGAAGUCGGAAUCGCUAGUAAUCGUAGAUCAGAAUGCUAUGGUGAAUACGUUCCCGGGCCUUGUACACACCGCCCGUCACACCAUGGGAGUGGGUUGCAAAAGAAGUAGGUAGCUUAACCUUCGGGAGGGCGCUUACCACUUUGUGAUUCAUGACUGGGGUGAAGUCGUAACAAGGUAGGCGUAGCGAG